CUAAUGGAUCGUGUAGUAUAUGAUCUGGAGUGUAACCUAGACCUGAUAACAGCCGCCUCUUCAACAAAAGACCCAUUGGUGGGGCAAUUGCGUCGUGCUCUCCCCAUUUCUCCUUUUGGUAUAUUUCUCGUUACAUGUGUGGGAUGACAUGAAGUGGUUGGCAGUGUGGUAUUCCCUGCCGUUUCUUUUCUAUAAGUGGGAGAGGAAACAUUGGUUUUUG